UGGGGUGCAGCUCAGUGGUAGAGUGCUUGCCUAGCAUGCAAGAGGCCCCAGGAUCCAUCCCCAGCACUGCAA
rnacentral:tRNA from 1 species